rnacentral:rRNA from 1 species
GACGGAGGAUGCAAGCGUUAUCCGGAAUGAUUGGGCGUAAAGCGUCCGCAGGUGGCAAUUCAAGUCUGCUGUUAAAGCGCAGGGCUUAACUCUGUAAAGGCAGUGGAAACUGAAUAGCUAGAGUGUGGUAGGGGCAGAGGGAAUUCCCAGUGUAGCGGUGAAAUGCGUAGAGAUUGGGAAGAACAUCGGUGGCGAAGGCGCUCUGCUGGACCAUAACUGACACUCACAGGACGAAAGCUAGGGGAGCGAAUGGG